UUUGAAAUAUACUUUUCUAAAUGUCAUUACUGUCAUUUUAGAUCAGUUUAAUGCAUCCUUGCUGAAUACAGGUAAAAAAAAAAAAAAAAAUUGUUUAAAACAAUUAAAUUGUGUAUUAAUUAUUCAGUUUAAAUCACAUAUGUACAUUCAUUUCUUAAGAUAUUUUUUAGGUUCAGCUUUUUAAUAUGAGCUCUUAAUUAUACUGUACAUUGCAAGUGAUUUUAAGAACCAAUUUCAGUACCUUAACAACCAAAAAAAGAGAUUAAGUAUUUAAUUAUUUUAUUAAACUAUUUGAAAAUGCGAAUAAAUUAAAUCAGUCCAUUAUUAACGCUAAUAAUAAUAUUAAAGAAAAUAAUAUUUUAAAAUAUUGGCAUGCAUCCUUCAAAUAUGUUUCAAUUAAGUACUGCUUUAAAAGGGUCAAGUGAAAACUGAGUGGAUUCUGACUAACUUAAACACCUCUGAUUGGCCAUUGCAUAUUACUGUUCACAUAAAGCGAUAUAAAUAUGCACAGAAGCGUUUGAAAGCAGUAGCCUAUCAGCGAGUACUGAACUGAGUCUGUACUUGGUACUGCAGAAAGGCUGAUUGUUACAUUUUUAAAAAUUCAGUACUUGGUACAGAAGUACUGAUGAUGUAAUUUCAAAAUCUGAAGACAGAAAACAAUAGUCUGACUUUAGCUUUGUGAAAUUAUUCUACAUAAAACAUAUCUGCACAAAACAAAACCAGCAGACGGACUGAAUGAGAAAGCAAAUUCACUCUCUGACAGCAACCCAAUUCAAUAUUAAGGAUUUUCUUCCAAUAUUUUGCUCAUUAUGAACAAAUGAGCUGCUCUGCCAGCUACAGUAUUUUCCCCUCUCUGUGUCCAUCUUUAGCAUCUUUGGUCUCUGUUAACGUCCCGUUUACAGUCGUUGUAAUAUUUCCACACAAAUUACAUUUUGGAAAAUGCUUGCAAUUCAGUUUGUGUGCAAGUCCGGAACAGGUGGGUGCCAAUUUAUGGCCGUUCGAAAGGUU
ensembl:lncRNA